GGCUGGCGAGGCGGGAGGAGGAAGCCAGCCAGUCCACCGGCGAGAGCGUGGCCGCGGGAAGGCGCGACAGCGAGAGGCGGAGGAGACCCCGCGCGGCGCUCCGCUCCGCCUCAAACGCCUCCUUAUCUUGUUCCCAACGGAUAGCUCCCGGCUCCCGAGUUCCCGCGCGCGCACACCCACCGGACGGCACGCGCCUCGCCUCCCACUGCAUCCAAGCCAACUGCUCUGGCGCCAUGGCGGCGGCGGCGGUGGCGGGGUGCUUCCCCGCUUGCUGCCGCUGCGCGUCCUCCUCCCGGUCCCGGGUGACGCCCGCGUCCACGUCGGUCGCCGCCUGCGUGCUCCAGCCGCCGCGCCGGAGGAGCAGGUCGCAGUCCCUGCCGCGCCUGGGGCUCGGGGAGGCGGCGGCGAGGAUGGCGAUGGUCAGGACGACGGCGAGGAGGGGGCGGCGGGCGUUCCGGGUGCGCGCGGGGGUGGGCGUGGAGAUCGCCAGCGCCGUGGAGGUGAUCAACGACCUGGGCUUCGACACCCUCACCUUCCUCGGCGUCACCGUCCUCGUCGUCCCCGCCUUCCGCGUCGUCAAGGCUAGCCCGAUCCUCGGCUUCUUCUGCGCCGGCGUCGUCCUCAACCAGUUCGGCCUCAUCAGGAACCUCACCGACGUCAAGCUCCUCUCCGAGUGGGGGAUCCUCUUCCUGCUGUUCGAGAUGGGGCUGGAGCUCUCCCUCUCUCGCCUCAAAGCCCUUGCCAAGUUCGCCUUCGGGAUCGGUUUGCCUCAGGUUCUUCUGUCAACGCUGGCCUUCGCGGCAUUUGAGCUUCCCCCUAAUGGUGCUAUUGGAACAAGAAUCCUGCAGUUCCUCUUUAAUUCAAGACCUGACCUGGUGAAUAUCAGGAGUGUCGACGAAGCAAUAGUGAUUGGAGCUGCCCUCUCCUUAUCUUCAUCUGCUUUUGUUCUUCAGCUUCUUGCUGAGAAAGGUGAGCUUGCAACAAGAUUUGGUUCGGCCACACUGGGAAUCCUCCUCCUCCAGGAUAUUGCCGUUGUUCCUCUCUUGGUCAUACUCCCUGUUCUAGAGAGUCAGAAUGUUGUGGAGCAAAGUGUGUGGCCUAUGCUACUAGCUGAAAGCUUAAAAGCACUGGGUGGACUUGGCAUACUUUCACUUGGAGGGAAAUAUCUCAUCAGGCGCAUCUUUGAGUUUGUUGCAGAGUCGAGGAGCUCAGAAGCAUUUGUUGCCCUCUGCCUUCUCACCGUUUCAGGAACCUCACUUCUCACCCAGUGGUUGGGCUUUAGUGACACUCUAGGUGCUUUUCUGGCUGGGGCCCUCCUUGCAGAAACAAAUUUCCGUACGCAAAUAGAAGCUGACAUAAGACCAUUCAGAGGCUUGCUCCUUGGAUUGUUCUUUGUGACAACAGGAACUUCUAUCGACAUGCAGCUUCUCAUCCGUGAGUGGCCUAAUGUUCUAUCGCUGUUGGCUGGCCUUAUUGCAAUCAAGACAUUGAUAACUACUGCAUUAGCAACAAGAGUCGGACUAACUUUUCAAGAGAGUGUAAGGAUAGGAUUGCUGCUAUCUCAAGGAGGGGAGUUUGGGUUCGUGGUAUUUUCUUUGGCAAACAGGCUUGGCGUCCUACCGCUUGAGCUGAAUAAGCUGCUCAUUAUCGUCGUUGUGCUGUCAAUGGCAUUAACUCCGUUACUGAAUGACCUUGGAAGAAAAGCAGCAGGAAUCAUUGAUGAGAGAUCUGAAACAAAAGAAGUAAAACCAGCUGAGGAGGCAAAUUAUGGUGCGACUGAACCUAUUGUCAUUCUUGGCUUUGGAGAGAUGGGACAGGUCCUUGCAAAGUUUUUGGCUGCACCAUUAUCUUUCGGGCUCGAGCGAGAUACAGAAGGAUGGCCGUAUGUCGCGUUUGAUCUAAAUCCUGCUGUUGUAAAGUCAGCCAGAAAAUCAGGAUUUCCAGUGUUAUAUGGAGAUGGUUCACGCCCCGCCGUUAUGCAAUCUGCUGGCAUAUCUUCUCCUAAAGCUGUCAUGAUCAUGUAUACCGGGAAGGAAGAAACAGUCGAGUCUGUCGACAGAUUGCGACAAGCUUUUCCUGCGGUUCCCGUGUAUGUUAGGGCUCAAGACAUGUCUCAUUUGUUGGAUCUAAGGAAAGCAGGUGCGACAGAUGUUGUUCUGGAAAAUGCUGAGACUAGCUUGCAACUCGGCUCGAUGCUUAUGAAAGGGCUGGGUGUCAUGUCUGAUGAUGUAUCUUUCCUGAGUAAGCUUGUGAGGGACUCGAUGGAGUUACAAGCUCAGGAGGCACUCAACAACGUCGAGUCUCGUGAAACUACUACCAUGGAGUCACUUCAGGUUAGGGUAUCGGACUUGGUUGAGUCCAAUGGGAACGGUUCCGGAAUGAUUCCCCGGGAGCAAUCGCUAGGUCUAAGCAGUCGUCCGGAGGUACGGGUGAUGAAAACGACUCCGGAUAAUCCCAUGCCUAAUUUGAACAACAAAAACGAAUCUGAAGACGGUGUGAAAUAUUGUCUCCUGGAAACCGCUGACGGCGAGGAAACGGUGGAGCCUCCAGCGGAAGCAAGGAGAUGACGGACCAGACCAGUUUCUGUAAAACCAAGGCGCAGUCUGAAGCGAAGGCACUGAACUUGUGGUUUCCUCAUAGGUAAUAGCUCUCAUUGUACAGCACAUCUGGAGACUGAAGCGCCGAAACUUGGAGGCACACAAUCUGUGGACACGACGUUUGCACUGCGUCGUGCGAGCUGAGAUUUGCAGCUCGCAAAUUGAAACCGGAAAUGUCAAUUCGGGCAUAUUGAGAUUUACAGCCGUGAUUGGAAUUUGCGGCGGGCAUUUAGAAAUUGAAGCAUCAACAUUUCAGAAUCCCUGAAAAGCAUUAUUGGCAGGGUGAUUUGUGCAAGCAGAAGUAACCUGUAUGGCUAGAUAAUUAUUUGUAUCACAUUUCUCUGAUUUGUGUCUGUUGUAUACAACUAGGACCGUAGGCCAAAUAAUUCCUGUAAAAAAAAUCAUGUACAUGCGCACAUGCAGAAACUAGUGAGUGUAUAAUAAUACUGGACCAAACGGUUUGUCCUCGCCGCGACAAGUUGAACUUUCUGAAUGAA